ensembl:lncRNA
GGUUAACAUUGUUAUUCAUACUUACCGGCUCAGGUAGGCAUCUCUAAAGAAACUUGUCACUGGAAAUAGAGUCUCAACUCGUCGUCCUUUACUGCUUUAACUUCCCUCUGGAAUCACAUUCAGAUAGAGGAAUGAUUAUUUCACAAUAAAUGCCUUUGGUCUUGACUGUCACGUCUAAUUGUACUCCAAUCCCUCCUCACGUUCAUUGGUCUGACUGGGGCAUAUGCUCAUUCUGGAACUAAUCCCAGUUCUGGAUUGUGCCCCGACAAUGCUGUUCAUUGACGGGCUUAGGCUUUCUCCCUCCUGAGCCAAUCACUAUGGUAGAAAGGAUGGAAUGACUGCUCUCUUCCAACAACAUCACUGUGACAUCAUAAGAGAGAUUUGAAAAGCAUCUUGGAGGACUUUCUAUGUCAAGCUCCCCAGAUGCACACCUUGAGACUAGGAUUUGCUGCUUUUAAAGUGACAUAAUCAGACCAAGAUUUAAGGUAUGGAGUGAAAAAGGAUGGACCAGAAGCAGAGGGAUCAGAGAUGUUGAGAUCACCUUGCCUUCAGCAAAGGAGUCUAGCACCGUUCUCUGGGGGGACUCAGUCCAAGGAGGCUCCAGGCCAGCUGCUUGGGAUGAAUGUCAGGCACUGCGAUACAAUGGAGCAUCAUGCGUGAUUCUCACAGAGCUCAAUAGACGUCGGGCAAGUGGAAGGCCAUCAGACCUCUCAGGUCACAGCAUCCAGAGCAUCCCGUUGGACACAUAAAGACUAAGUUACUUAACUGUGGAGAUUCCUCUCUCUUUCUCUCUCUCCUUCUUUCUCCAAACCCAGAUGUUUGGCAUCUCACCAAUAUCGUCCAAGACCUUCUGGAUUGGGAACAAAAUAAAUGUAGAGAAAGAGGAAGCAGUUUUAGUGAAAGCACCACAGGGAGCAAACCAAUAAAAAAGCAGGAAACUCAGCACAAGCCCGAUUUAUGUCGCUGCAUUUCCCUAGCACUCAGCCUAUUCCUCCAAACCCCAACACACACACACUCGUGUGCACACACACGUGCACUCACACAUGCACAUGUGCACACACACACCACAAGCGCCUGCUCCUAUUAGCUUUCUUUCCUGCUCUCACUUUUCAUUUUAAAGUCAAACAUUGGGUAAAAUUCUCUUUUUAUUUCACUCUCCUUCCCAUCUCUCUGAAAGAGCUUCAGAAGGGGAGUUUUGCAUGAGCGUCCUGAGGGCUCGUGGAUCUGAGACUGUACAGCUCCCUCACCUCCACAUUUCCCUGAUGGUCCUAUCUCUUUUUAAUAGUCAAUAAAACAUUGCUAUAGCCUCUAUUUUAGUUUCUGUUUCUAGACAACAAGAAAGAGAGAAAAGGUAGAAAGGAAGGAAGGGAGGGAGGGAGGAAGGAAAGAAGGGAGGAAGGAAGAAAGGAAGGAAGGGAAAGGAAGGAAGGAAAAGGAAGGAAGGAAAAGAAAGAAAGAAAGAAAAAGAAAGGAAGAAAGAAAGAGACCCAGUCUAUAAACAAAAACAUCAUGGCUUUCCCUUUUUCAACAGCUGGGGACAAUCAUAGCACUUUUGAGUUUUGUUUUGUUUUGUUUUGUUUUGUUUCUGUCAGGAGGCAGAGCCCCAUAGAAGUGAUGGUUCUCUUGGUGGGAACACAGAAGAAGCAAGUUGAGAAUGAGCACUUUGGGACAGGCAGGUCUGGUAGCCAAAAGCAGAUUUUGAUUAAAGUAGAG